UAGAAAAAUCAUCCCGUCUCCCACAGCCAC
rnacentral:piRNA from 1 species